CCUACGGGAGGCAGCAGUGAGGAAUAUUGGUCAAUGGACGCAAGUCUGAACCAGCCAAGUAGCGUGCAGGAUGACGGCCCUCUGGGUUGUAAACUGCUUUUAGUUGGGAAUAAAAGGGAGUUCGUGAGCUCCUUAUCGUAUGUAUCAUCAGAAAAAGGACCGGCUAAUUCCGUGCCAGCAGCCGAGGUAACACGGAAGGUCCGGGCGUUAUCCGGAUUUUUUGGGUUUAAAGGGAGCGUAGGUGGUUUGUCAAGUUAGUAGCGAAAUUUCAAGGCUCAACCUUGGAACUACUGCUAAUACUGUUAGACUUGAGUGCAGGAGGGGCAGCCGGAAUUCGUAGUGUAGCGGUGGAAUGCGUAGAUAUUAGGAGGAACUCCAGUGGCGAAGGCAGGUUGCUGGACUGUAACUGACGCUGAGGCACGAAAGCGUGGGGAGCAAACAGGAUUAGAUACCCGGGUAGUC
rnacentral:rRNA from 1 species